rnacentral:tRNA from 1 species
UGGGUUAUAGUUAACUAUAACAUUUGGGUUGCAUUCAAAAAAUAUUGAUAUAAUCAAUUAACCUAA